AUAACCCUGCAGGGAUAAAAGGCAUGCUGGUUACAGCAAAUAGCCUUGCAUGUUUUGCUCCCAAGAACACAGAACACAGAACACGACUUCAAAUAGUUGAGAACAACAUUGGUAAGAAGGAAAAAAGAAAAAAAAGGGCAGUGAUUUAUUAUGCCAAGUGAAGGAACGAAUUUUUUUCUGAAAACUGAAUCGUGUUUUUACACAAGAACAUUUAAAAUGUUACUGAUGUUUGUUCGUGGAUGCAACGAUAAGCCUCUCCCAGCUGGCUGCCCUGGGAGAGGAGCCGAGGACUUGCACAGGGACAAGCCCUGUUUAUUAGCUGCGAAUGCUGGGCUGGGGCUGGGGCUGGGCGCAGGGCUGGGCGCGCAUCGUGCAGCUGCCUCCCACUUCCUUUGGGACACUUCCCCAAUCUAGCAACACUUCUGGUCAAAGGAUUCUCUGGUAUUUUGCCCCUAAACUUCCCUCUUCAAUGGGAUACUAUUUCUUCUAGACUCACACCGAGUGUUGUCAGAAGCUUUUUAUCCAGGUUCUGUUUGAUAAACAUCUUAUGGUGGUCAGUUAAUCUUGGCCAAGUUUCAUCUCUUGAUGAAAACACAGACUAGGAAGGUGUGGUAUGCUCUCAUUAGUCUCUCUAGAUCAAGCAUGUCAAACUCAGAGGCUAACGCGGGCCAAAUAAACAAGGCAUGCGGCCUGCGAGUUUAACAUGCUUGCUCUAGAUCAAACCUCAGAACAUUUCUCUCUGGGGCCGAGGUGGGCUAAAUACAUUGGGAUACACGCGUCUCUGGCCUUGGAGACGGAAGCCCUAGGAGUAGCGUGUUCUUUCAGAGGCUCCUUUGCUGCCACCUGCAGAGUAACAUCAGGAGUAUCUCUCACUUCUCUGAGCCAGACCCUUGACAGAUCCCUACAAUGGCUUUGCUCAGCAUGUUUUACAAAGUAGGCACAUGUCUGUGUUUCUCGGUGCCCUCCCAUCGAAGGUGAGCAUCACUGCCCUCACUGGCUCUAAGCUGGGCUCAGGGACGCUUUUCUGGAACAGAGAGCAGUGGACAGGGCACUGAGUUUGUCCCAAGCGUGGCCAGGAAAGGUGCCCGGCGCUUUCUGCCCGCCUCUCUUGGGACCCAGACACGUGCUGUGUGGGUAUCUGGCCAGAGCCCGCGCAGGUCCCAGCCAAUUGGAGCACAAAAGCCAGCGGGGGACCGAAGGCCUUCUGGGGCUCCAGCCCAGCCUCUGGCCACCAGCUGACGCCCACUGGAGCGAGAUGAGCUGUCCUGGCAGAACCCCGUCCUGCCCACAGGCCUGUGCACAGGUAAGUGUGGAGGCCACUGAGCUGUGAGAUGGUUUGUUGUGAAGCAGGAAAUAUCAGGAUCAGUCUGGGUGUGAUCCCUUCCUUCUGCUAGGAGGCGGGCAUGGUGGCAAUGCCUAACAUACUAGUGCGAUCUGUAAAGAGUUUUCAUUGCUCAGUAAAAGUUCGAGUAAGGUCAACAGAGUGGUCGAAUGGAGUGACGGGGGAGGGAGAGUGCUGGGAAGUGAUGGAGCUAAAAUAUCUGACAACAAUGGUGGCAAAGGUCUGUCUGCACUUGGGAUCAUAUGUGACACAGACGUCAACUUGAAGUCCAUCCCUGGUCACUCAUUGAGGGCCACUGCGAGGCCACGAAGGGCCUGCCACCGAGAUGGCAGUGACCGGGAGCGGCCAGGCUGCCAGCCGCCACCACCCCGGGCUGGGCAGGGAGACGACAGCAGCCACUUCUCUGUUGGCCAUUUAAUCGCCUUGCAUGUGUGUGUGUGUGUGUGUGUGACACAGACGCCCAGGCAUCCCUCCACUUUUACUUGGGGUGAAAGUACGGAAUUCUGACUUGAAAAAAGUCAGCAAAAAAUCACUUUAAAAAAUGACAGGUUUGGCAGCUACCGUCUUCAAUAACAACUAUAAUUUAUAAACAAAGAUUAAAUUACACAUACUUUAUAUUUGCUGGCAAUUAAUACAGGUAGGUAAAAAUCACACACACCAACAAAUGCAUCUGUACUCUCAUAUAAAUAUAUAUGUGCGUAUGUGUAAAAUGUGUCUCUAUUUUUAAAAGGUACAAUAUAUUUUCCUUUAACUUUUCUUUUUCUGAAAGCUAAGGAAACGAAGUCCGAGUUUCAUGUCACUGCAGUGUUACAGUGAAUGCACUGACAUGUACAAGGACAGCAAUCCCAUUGCUCUCACUCCUGUAGCUGGACCCCAUUAAAGCGAAGGCGGAACACGUACACUCAUGUAUCCUACCCAGAGGCAGUGCCUUCAUUCCAGGGCAUGGAGUUAUGGUUCCAUAGAAAGUCCUAUGUGAUUCUCUGGAUUUUGGCAAAUGUGCAUUCACACAGAAAACAGAUAGAAUCCAGACUGGAAAACGCAUGGCUGAUGUCUACACGUAAGUCCUUUU